rnacentral:rRNA from 1 species
GACGAACGCUGGCGGCGUGCUUAACACAUGCAAGUCGAACGGAAAGACCCUGCUUUUGUGGGGUGCUCGAGUGGCGAACGGGUGAGUAACACGUGAGUAACCUGCCCUUGACUUUGGGAUAACUUCAGGAAACUGGGGCUAAUACCGGAUAGGAGCUCCUGCUGCAUGGUGGGGGUUGGAAAGUUUCGGCGGUUGGGGAUGGACUCGCGGCUUAUCAGCUUGUUGGUGGGGUAGUGGCUUACCAAGGCUUUGACGGGUAGCCGGCCUGAGAGGGUGACCGGCCACAUUGGGACUGAGGUACGGCCCAGACUCCUACGGGAGGCAGCAGUGGGGAAUAUUGCACAAUGGGCGGAAGCCUGAUGCAGCAACGCCGCGUGCGGGAUGACGGCCUUCGGGUUGUAAACCGCUUUCGCCUGUGACGAAGCGUGAGUGACGGUAAUGGGUAAAGAAGCACCGGCUAACUACGUG